rnacentral:rRNA from 1 species
CGAACGGGUGAGUAACGCGUGAGGAACCUGCCUCAAAGAGGGGGACAACAGUUGGAAACGACUGCUAAUACCGCAUAAGCCCACGGGUCGGCAUCGACCUGAGGGAAAAGGAGCAAUCCGCUUUGAGAUGGCCUCGCAUCCGAUUAGCUAGUUGGUGAGGUAACGGCCCACCAAGGCGACGAUCGGUAGCCGGACUGAGAGGUUGAACGGCCACAUUGGGACUGAGACACGGCCCAG